rnacentral:rRNA from 1 species
CAGUCGCCGCGGUAAUACGUAGGGUGCAAGCAUUAAUCGGAAUUACUGGGCGUAAAGCGUGCGCAGGCGGUUAUAUAAGUCAGAUGUGAAAUCCCCGGGCUCAACCUGGGAACUGCAUUUGAGACUGUAUGGCUAGAGUGUGUCAGAGGGGGGUAGAACUCCACGUGUAGCAGUGAAAUGCGUAGAUAUGUGGAGGAAUACCGAUGGCGAAGGCAGCCCCCUGGGAUAACACUGACGCUCAUGCACGAAAGCGUGGGGAGCAAACAGGAUUAGAUACCCCCGUAGUCCCUGUCUCUUAUAC